rnacentral:rRNA from 1 species
GAGUAACGCGUGGGAAGCUACCUUGUGGUAGGGAACAACAGUUGGAAACGACUGCUAAUACCCUAUGAGCCCUAUGGGGGAAAGAUUUAUCGCCAUGAGAUGUGCCCGCGUUAGAUUAGCUAGUUGGUAAGGUAAUGGCUUACCAAGGCGACGAUCUAUAGCUGGUCUGAGAGGAUGAUCAGCCACACUGGGACUGAGACACGGCCCAGACUCCUACGGGAGGCAGCAGUGGGGAAUAUUGGACAAUGGGGGCAACCCUGAUCCAGCCAUGCCGCGUGUGUGAUGACGGCCUUAGGGUUGUAAAGCACUUUCAGCAGUGAAGAUAAUGACAUUAACUGCAGAAGAAGCCCCGGCUAACUUCGUGCCAGCAGCCGCGGUAAUACGAAGGGGGCUAGCGUUGUUCGGAAUCACUGGGCGUAAAGCGUACGUAGGCGGACUGAUCAGUCAGGGGUGAAAUCCCGGGGCUCAACCCCGGAACUGCCUUUGAUACUGUCAGUCUUGAGAUCGAGAGAGGUGAGUGGAACUCCGAGUGUAGAGGUGAAAUUCGUAGAUAUUCGGAAGAACACCAGUGGCGAAGGCGGCUCACUGGCUCGAUACUGACGCUGAGGUACGAAAGCGUGGGGAGCAAACAGGAUUAGAUACCCCUGGUAGUCCACGCCGUAACGAUGAAUGCUAGUUGUCAGGUAGCUUGCUAUUUUGGUGACGC